UGGAAGCCUAGCCGAGGCCUCAGAAUAUGGAUGAGAUCAUCUGAGACCAUCCACCCCAGGAAGCCAGCAAAGUGGCUAGAACCCGCCAUACCACCGCAGAAUCACGAUUGCUGUUCUGAGUCACUACAUUUCAGGUGACUUGUUGAGCAGCAAACGAGCUGACGAACCUAAAGUCAGAAGAUGCUAGCGGAAGAAACAGGACCCAGAACUCCAUUGGAAAAUGGGGUAUACAGACUUCGAGGAUGCCAGACAAAAAGAUCAUUUGAAAUAUUGUUGUCACUAAGCCUUCUUUGAUCAAGACACCAUGAGCUCAUGGAACUGGUCCUCUGAAGACAGUGUCUGCAAUGAAGCUGAGUCCUCUCUCUCUCCCAGGCCCGAGUGUCUACCUCUAAUUUAUUCCUGAUGAAUGACAGCAAGUUCACAGCCUCAGGUACUUUUUCAUUCUUUCAUUUCUCAAAG
rnacentral:lncRNA from 10 species